rnacentral:lncRNA from 1 species
AGCGAGGCAGUCCAAAGCGCAGCCGUUUUGAUCCCCAUUUCCUUGGCAACAAUAAACACUCCAGAAAGGAAAGCAUCGGCAAUCACCCAACUGAACUUCUCUUGCUCUUCAUCAUUACUUUGAGACUGCUGCUGAUUCAUCAGCAGCUCCCGUAUUUGAAUUGGCAGUACUUUCUUCACAGCCUCUGUGAACAUUCUAUGAUCACU